AAUCUGACUGUUUAAUUAAAACAAAGCAUUGCGAGGGCCCGCGGUGGGUGUUGACUCAAUGUGAUUUCUGCCCAGUGCUCUGAAUGUCAAAGUGAAGAAAUUCAAUGUAAACGGCGGGAGUAACUAUGACUCUCUCAUAUAGAGGUCUCAGGAGGAGACACAGGGUU
rnacentral:ncRNA from 1 species